CUCCUGGAGGGCCAGGAAUCGGGCCGGGGGUUGGGCCAGGCUCUGAGGUGUGGGGGAUUCCCCCAUGCCCCCCGCCGUAUGAGUUCUGUGGGGGGAUGGCGUACUGUGGGCCCCAGGUUGGAGUGGGGCUAGUGCCCCAAGGCGGCUUGGAGACCUCUCAGCCUGAGGGCGAAGCAGGAGUCGGGGUGGAGAGCAACUCCGAUGGGGCCUCCCCGGAGCCCUGCACCGUCACCCCUGGUGCCGUGAAGCUGGAGAAGGAGAAGCUGGAGCAAAACCCGGAGGAGGCAUCCCAGGACAUCAAAGCUCUGCAGAAAGAACUCGAGCAAUUUGCCAAGCUCCUGAAGCAGAAGAGGAUCACCCUGGGAUAUACACAGGCCGAUGUG
rnacentral:lncRNA from 1 species